AUGAAAAAGUAUGGACUAAAGAUGAAUCCUUUGAAGUGUGAUUUCGGUGUAUCGGCUGGAAAGUUUUUGGGUUUCAUUAUUCAUCAAGAUGGGAUAGAAAUUGAUCCCAAAAAGAUAGAAGCUAUACAAAAGGUGGAGGCUCCAACAUGCAAGAGAGAUAUGCAAAAGUUCCUUGGCAAAGUCAACUAUUUAAGGAGAUUCAGAGCCAACUUGUUAGGGAAGGUUGAUGCAUUCAAUCCCAUCCUUAGGUCAAAGGACGAUGCCUAUUUUACUUGGGGGGCAAAACAACAAGAAGUGUUUGAUAUGAUAAAAAGUUAUUUGUGCACUCCUCCGGUGUUGAAAGCUCCCAAACAUAGAGAGCCCUUUAAGCUUUAUAUUAUGGCGUAG
rnacentral:rRNA from 1 species